UGCUACAAUAGAGAUGGACAGUGUGUGUGUGUGUGUAUAUGUGUAUAUAUAUAUAUAUAUAUAUAUACACACACACACACACACAUACAGUGUCCAUCUCUAUU